UAGGGAGACCUAUUGAUACUGACCUGAACYUAUCACUACAACAGGCAGAAAUCAGUCAUCCCAAGGUCGGACGGGGUUAAACAGUUCUUAAUUUGAUAAUUGUUUGAUGAUUAAGAAUUGGGUGAAAACCAAAAUACCUAAGCUUUCAAACUAGAACCGGGUUCGGUUCAUGGGCUAUUAGCUCAGUUGGUUAGAGCGCACCCCUGAUAAGGGUGAGGUCUCUGGUUCAAAUCCAGAAUGGCCCACCUUCACAGGUGAACUUCACAGUGGAAAACUUGAUGUGAAAACUCAAGUUGAAAACCAAGAGUUCAAAACCAACGGGGGUAUAGCUCAGUUGGUAGAGCGCCUGCUUUGCACGCAGGAAGUCAGCGGUUCGAGUCCGCUUACCUCCACUUCUAUUUCUGUUGAGAAAUAUCUCAAGAUAAUCUCAAAAAAGGAAGUAGAGGGGGAGUAAAAAAGUCGUCUGUAAAGGGCGACGUAACCAACUGACAUGAGCAAGUGAACCCCUAAAAGAUUUCAGCAUCUGUACUUGUGUGAACAAGCUUGUGAGACAAGYCAGAAUGCUGGAUUCAUUUGAAUCCAGAGAGAACCUUGAARACUGCAUAGCAAUAAGUCUUUAGAAAGCAGGUAUGUCAUACCGAGUUAAGGCUCGGCGUGUCUUACAAGCAAGAAAGAGAAUUCGCGUGAAAAUAGCGCAAUAAACUAACUAAGAGUAGGAGCCGUAARGGUUCUCAAUCUCAGUUAGAGU
rnacentral:tRNA from 1 species